AAAAUGACAUGUAAAAAAGAAAAUUAUUCGCUUUAUGAUCUUCGCUUUAUGAUCUAAUACGAGAUUUUGCAAAUUCAAAAUUUGAUACUAGUGAUUAUGAUGUAAAUAAUAUUUGGAAUAUUCCUCUUGUAAAUAAAAAAAUUCCAGGAUUGAUGAAAGAUGAAUUGAAUGGUAAAAUUCUUACAGAGUUUAUUACUCUAAGACCAAAAGUUUAUGAUUAUAAAGUGAAUGGAGAAGUAAAAGAGCCUAUAAAUAAGGGAAUUAAAAAAAGUGCAGUCAUUAUAGAAAAUGACGAACCAAAAAAUAAACAACAAAAAUUAUGCAAUAGUGUUGAUUUUGUAGAUAAUGUUGAUAAUGAUAGUUAUAGGAUUACUAAUACUAGAAAAAUAAAAUUUAACGAUAUAUAUAAAUGUUUAUUUAAUAAUACAGUACGUUAUGUUAAUUUUAAUAGUAUAAGAUCAAUUAAUCUGUAAAUAUUAAUAAGUUAGGAUUAAAUGCAUUAGAUAAUAAGAGAUAUAUUUUAGAUGAUCUAAUUAGUAUUCACGCUUGGGGGCAUUAUUCAAUUCCCUAAUCCCUUCUAAGUUUUUGUAAAAUUUAAUAUUUUUUUUUCAAAUAUUUUUUCCAAAUAUUAAUAAAAUAUUUGUUUGUUCUAUUUCCUGUUUUAUUUUUUAUCGAACCUAGUACGUAUUUACUUAGAUAAACAUUAGCGUUGUAAACAAUUCCCCACUCGAACCCUCUAUCUAUACCAAACAGUGUAAGAGUCAACUUGCUGUUUUUCAACUGUAUCAGUGUCUUAUUGAGUUAAAAGGUACUAUUUUUAAAAACCAAAAAAAAAAUGGAAAGAGUACGUAAACCUUCAAUAUACAAUACUUCCGAUGAAAUUGUCGUAUGUCCAUACGAACCCAAACAUAAAGCUAUGGUUUCGGCUUGAGCGGCACAUAUGGAAGUGAGAUCAAGCCGAAAAAAGAAAAAAGGAAGACCAAGCAAAGCAGAGCGUAGAUCACCCCUCUCAACUUUCGGUUUGACAAAAAAAAAUUACUCCUUAUUCCUGUUCUCCUACUAAUACAAUUUAGCAUAGUAGGAGGUAGUUAGAUAAACACUAGAGCGAUUUUUUCUGUUCUCCUAAUAAUCCAUUUAAAAUUGCUUAACUCAGUACAGCAUGUAUUGUAUACUUCAGUGUUCUUCAACCUUUGCCAUCCGGCGGAACCCUUUGUCGAGAUAUUUUUUUUUAUGGAACCCUUCAUUUAGUAAUACACCCAGAUGAGAUUUUAGGGACAGCUGCGUUGACUUGUUACGAACAAGGUGAGCCCGUGCUUUGGUAAUAAAAACUCUAAAUAAGAUUUAAA